AUCCCUUUGUAGCUCAUAAGCAUGACGAUUGGGUGUUCACGCACAUGUGUGAGAUGUGCCUCCCUCAAACCUUGUUAAGGGUUAUUACCCGUGUGUUG
rnacentral:snoRNA from 1 species